rnacentral:lncRNA from 1 species
AUGGCAUCCUCGCAAACAAGCUCCAGAAGACGGUGGCACCUCGGGCCGGCUCGGGAGGGUGGGUGCAGAGCCCAGGGUGGAUUUUGGGUGCUGAGGGGUGGGUGGGGUUGCAGAGACGCUGCAGCAGUGGCCCUGCCACCCAUUCCGGAGGCGGCCGGUGGCUUCGGGCCGAGGUUUUGUUUGUUGUUUUGGUCGCGCUUCCCAUGGAGACGGGACUUGUGCAAGCGCCAUCGUCCUCCCUGCGCCGCGGGGACACGGUGGGUGCUGGGGAGGCCGUGUCCCUGCAGGGCCUGCAGCCCCCCCGAGCUGUCCCUCUGCCACCAUGGCCAGGCCCUGGUGGUCCCUGCCACCGUGGUGACUGUAACCCCUGCUACCACAGCUGCUUCCUGUCGCCAUCACAGCUUUGUCCCCCACCAUCACCAUGCCAGGUUCUGUCUCCAUCAUGGUCGUCACAGUUCCCGUACCCUGCCGCUACAGCCACCGCAUCCCCACCAAACCCCUGAUGUCCCUCGAGCACUGUGUCCAGCCUGUCCCUGCCAUGGCCACUCUGUCCCCUGCCACCACAGCCACCUUGUCCCCACCACAACCACCCUGACCUCACCUCUGCCACCACAGCCAUCCGGUGGCCACCACAACCCCUGUGUCCCCCUGCCACCAUGGCCACCCUGUCUCCACAAAAGCCACCAUGUGCCCCAGCCACCACAGCCGCCUUGUCCCACCCCAGCCCCGAUGUCCCCACGCAGCCCCAGUGUCUCCCUGCCACCACGGCCCCCUACGCCCCCCCCACGACCACGGCCCCGGUCCCCAUCCUGCGGGGUCGGGCGGGGCGGGGCUGGCCCGGGGCGCGGUGGCGGGGCUGCCCCGGCCCCGGCCCGGCGGACCCGCCCCGGGAGCGGGCGGUACCGGGCCGCCCCCGGCCGCGCUGACAUCAGCCGUGAAAAGGGCGCGGGCGGCGGCAUCCGCCACUGCCGCACCGGGACCGCGGGAUCGCGCCGCAGGUAG